CUACGGGCGGCACCAGUGAGGAAUAUUGCACAAUGGGGGGAACCCUGAUGCAGCAACGCCGCGUGGAGGAUGACGCAUUUCGGUGUGUAAACUCCUUUUAUAUGUCAAGAAAAUGACGGUAGCAUAUGAAUAAGCACCGGCUAACUCCGUGCCAGCAGCCGCGGUAAUACGGAGGGUGCAAGCGUUGCUCGGAAUCACUGGGCGUAAAGGACGCGUAGGCGGGUUGGAAAGUCAGGUGUGAAAUCCUACAGCUUAACUGUAGAACUGCACUUGAAACUUCUAAUCUAGAGUAUGGGAGGGGGAGAUGGAAUUAGUGGUGUAGGGGUAAAAUCCGUAGAUAUCACUAGGAAUACCUAAAGCGAAGGCGAUCUCCUGGAACAUUACUGACGCUAAGGCGUGAAAGCGUGGGGAGCAAACAGGAUUAGAUACCCUUGUAGUC
rnacentral:rRNA from 1 species